GUGCUCAUUUUGGCAGCACAUAAACUAAAAUUGGAACAAUACAGAAAAUAUCAGCAUGGCCCCUGCCCAAGGAUGACACAUUCAAUAUUUUUAAGCUUGU
rnacentral:snRNA from 1 species